rnacentral:misc_RNA from 1 species
UCAAGUGCGGCAUAGCCGUUGGCCGAGACCCGGUUUCUUGUGUUGCGUACCUGCACGAAGGCAUUCGUUUUUGUCCCGACGUCCCUCGUUCGUUUAGUGCUCCCCGUUGUUCCGGCGGGGCACAAGUCGAAACUUGUAGCUUGGUCCGUUACCCCGCGUCGCGUCCGGCCGUCGUGGUGAACGGGCGCUGCUUAAGCUCUCGGAUACGGAAAGCACCGUCGAGGGGCUUUGACAUCUCCCCCUUGCCCGAGCAUGCAUUACCACACGAGUGUCGCUCCCGCCUCGGUUCGGCCGUGCGGGCGGGACGCCGUUGAGGAAUGCUACCUGGUUGAUCCUGCCAGUA